rnacentral:rRNA from 1 species
GGUUAAGUGACUAAGCGUACACGGUGGAUGCCUAGGCAGUCAGAGGCGAUGAAGGACGUACUAACUUGCGAUAAGCGCAGAUAAGGCAGUAAGAGCCGUUUGAGUCUGCGAUUUCCGAAUGGGGAAACCCAACUGCACAAGCAGUUACUGUUAACUGAAUACAUAGGUUAACAGAGCAAACCGGGGGAACUGAAACAUCUAAGUACCCCGAGGAGAAGAAAUCAACCGAGAUUCCGGUAGUAGCGGCGAGCGAACCUGGAUUAGCCCUUAAGCACUCGGUGAAGUAGGUGAACAAGCUGGAAAGCUUGGCGAUACAGGGUGAUAGCCCCGUAACCGACGCUUCAUCGAGCGUGAAAUCGAGUAGGGCGGGACACGUGAUAUCCUGUCUGAAUAUGGGGGGACCAUCCUCCAAGGCUAAAUACUCCUGACUGACCGAUAGUGAACCAGUACCGUGAGGGAAAGGCGAAAAGAACCCCUGUGAGGGGAGUGAAAUAGAACCUGAAACCGUGUACGUACAAGCAGUAGGAGCACCUUCGUGGUGUGACUGCGUACCUUUUGUAUAAUGGGUCAGCGACUUAUAUUCAGUGGCAAGGUUAACCGUAUAGGGGAGCCGUAGCGAAAGCGAGUCUUAACUGGGCGCUCAGUCUCUGGAUAUAGACCCGAAACCGGGUGAUCUAGCCAUGGGCAGGUUGAAGGUUGAGUAACAUCAACUGGAGGACCGAACCGACUAAUGUUGAAAAAUUAGCGGAUGACUUGUGGCUAGGGGUGAAAGGCCAAUCAAACUCGGAGAUAGCUGGUUCUCCCCGAAAGCUAUUUAGGUAGCGCCUCGGACGAAUACUACUGGGGGUAGAGCACUGUUAAGGCUAGGGGGUCAUCCCGACUUACCAACCCUUUGCAAACUCCGAAUACCAGUAAGUACUAUCCGGGAGACACACGGCGGGUGCUAACGUCCGUCGUGGAGAGGGAAACAACCCAGACCGCCAGCUAAGGUCCCAAAGUAUUGCUAAGUGGGAAACGAUGUGGGAAGGCUCAGACAGCUAGGAUGUUGGCUUAGAAGCAGCCAUCAUUUAAAGAAAGCGUAAUAGCUCACUAGUCGAGUCGGCCUGCGCGGAAGAUGUAACGGGGCUAAGCAAUACACCGAAGCUGCGGCAAUGCCUUUUAGGUAUUGGGUAGGGGAGCGUUCUGUAAGCCGUUGAAGGUGGUCUGUAAGGGCUGCUGGAGGUAUCAGAAGUGCGAAUGCUGACAUGAGUAACGACAAAGGGGGUGAAAAACCUCCUCGCCGGAAGACCAAGGGUUCCUGUCCAACGUUAAUCGGGGCAGGGUGAGUCGACCCCUAAGGUGAGGCCGAAAGGCGUAAUCGAUGGGAAACGGGUUAAUAUUCCCGUACUUCUGACUAUUGCGAUGGGGGACGGAGAAGGCUAGGUGGGCCAGGCGACGGUUGUCCUGGUUCAAGUGCGUAGGCUUAAGAGUUAGGUAAAUCCGGCUCUUUCUAAGGCUGAGACACGACGUCGAGCUGCUACGGCAGUGAAGUCAUUGAUGCCAUGCUUCCAGGAAAAGCCUCUAAGCUUCAGAUAGUCAGGAAUCGUACCCCAAACCGACACAGGUGGUCGGGUAGAGAAUACCAAGGCGCUUGAGAGAACUCGGGUGAAGGAACUAGGCAAAAUGGUACCGUAACUUCGGGAGAAGGUACGCUCUUGAUGGUGAAGUCCCUUGCGGAUGGAGCUGACGAGAGUCGCAGAUACCAGGUGGCUGCAACUGUUUAUUAAAAACACAGCACUGUGCAAAAUCGCAAGAUGACGUAUACGGUGUGACGCCUGCCCGGUGCCGGAAGGUUAAUUGAUGGGGUUAGCGCAAGCGAAGCUCUUGAUCGAAGCCCCGGUAAACGGCGGCCGUAACUAUAACGGUCCUAAGGUAGCGAAAUUCCUUGUCGGGUAAGUUCCGACCUGCACGAAUGGCGUAAUGAUGGCCACGCUGUCUCCACCCGAGACUCAGUGAAAUUGAAAUCGCUGUGAAGAUGCAGUGUACCCGCGGCUAGACGGAAAGACCCCGUGAACCUUUACUACAGCUUGGCACUGAACAUUGAACCUACAUGUGUAGGAUAGGUGGGAGGCUAUGAAGACGUGACGCUAGUUGCGUUGGAGCCGUCCUUGAAAUACCACCCUUGUAUGUUUGAUGUUCUAACUUAGCCCCAUUAUCUGGGGUGAGGACAGUGCCUGGUGGGUAGUUUGACUGGGGCGGUCUCCUCCCAAAGAGUAACGGAGGAGCACGAAGGUGGGCUAAUCACGGUUGGACAUCGUGAGGUUAGUGCAAUGGCAUAAGCCCGCUUAACUGCGAGAAUGACGGUUCGAGCAGGUGCGAAAGCAGGUCAUAGUGAUCCGGUGGUUCUGUAUGGAAGGGCCAUCGCUCAACGGAUAAAAGGUACUCCGGGGAUAACAGGCUGAUACCGCCCAAGAGUUCAUAUCGACGGCGGUGUUUGGCACCUCGAUGUCGGCUCAUCACAUCCUGGGGCUGAAGUCGGUCCCAAGGGUAUGGCUGUUCGCCAUUUAAAGUGGUACGCGAGCUGGGUUUAGAACGUCGUGAGACAGUUCGGUCCCUAUCUGCCGUGGGCGUUGGAAGAUUGAAGGGGGCUGCUCCUAGUACGAGAGGACCGGAGUGGACGAACCUCUGGUGUUCGGGUUGUGUCGCCAGACGCAUUGCCCGGUAGCUAAGUUCGGAAUUGAUAAGCGCUGAAAGCAUCUAAGCGCGAAGCGAGCCCUGAGAUGAGUCUUCCCUGAUACUUUAAGUAUCCUAAAGGGUUGUUCGAGACUAGAACGUUGAUAGGCAGGGUGUGUAAGCGUUGUGAGGCGUUGAGCUAACCUGUACUAAUUGCCCGUGAGGCUUAACCAU